rnacentral:rRNA from 1 species
UAUGUACAUGCUUGCAGCAUAGCUUAAUGCAUCGGAUCCCAUUAGAACUCCGCAAUUAAGUGCACUUGAGCUAGAGUAGUACUGGGAUGGGUGACCACCUGAGAAGUCCUAGGGUUUUACAUGC